UCUCUCUCUCUCACACAGGCGUACGUGCGGUGCGGGCCGCGGUGGUGAGCUGGGUGACGCAACUUCGGGCGCGCAGUACGUCACAAUCAGGCUAGGCAAGGUUACCAGUGCGGGGAGGAACAGCGGGGCGGGCAGGGCGCUGGGGUGUGUCACUGUGUCGCCCCAUCACACACACACACACACACACACACACACACACACACACACAAGGGCACCUGGUGUGUCUCCCUAAGUGGGUGUUGCCCGACGGGACUGUCAGCACUUUGCCCCUUGGGACUCCUCUAAGUUGCCAAGGCUGCCUGUUGCCAUGUGUGUGUGUGUGUGUGUGUGUGUGAGUGUGAGUGUGUGCAGCGGCCGAGGGAAGUGACCCAGGGGCUGCCCAGGCACUGUACGCCCCUGCCCCUGCCCCCAGCGGUGCCAACACGUGCACACCUGCCACCGACGUUUGAUGCCAAGUGAAGCUCAACUUGGGACUCUACAUGUGAAGUAUUUGACCUUUAAGUGGUGAUGGUGACAGUGAUGUGGUGGUGAGAUGCGAUGUGAUGGUGAGGUCAGGUGAUGGUGGUGGUAAUGGUGUGAUAGUGGUGUUGGUGGUGGUGGUGGUGCAAGGGACGCGUGGAGCACCUGGUGACGUAAUGGCCCCGAGACACCUGCGUAAGGCCUUCAGGUGCGCCAGGGCGGACUCAACCAGAAGACUUGUACCUUGGGGUCGUUCAACCUCGGGAAGGAGUUGGAUACCUUACAGAAGAAUUAUUGUAAACUGAAAAGGAAUGCCGGAGAAGAGUAUACAUUAGGAAGAAAGGUUACAGGAAAGGGUGAUCAUGUACCAGGACGACUCCAAGCUGCCAGCUGACAAUAAACAGAUCUCGGUGUCAAGACUACGAACGGUGGAGGCAGGACGAGAGACGGUGGGUGAGUGGAGCGCCUACAGUGGUCAUGUGCUGCCUCCCGCUGUGUGCACCGUCCGGGGCGUCACUGUUUCCGAGGCUGCCAAGGAAGGAACAGAACCUCGUGAGAUGAUUAGAAAAGACAAGCA